GGGGCUGACCGGUUUCGACGCCGGAAACGGAAUCCGAAGUGCAUGCCGAGGCGCCAUGCCCUCGUAAAUCAUGUGGCAAACAAGCUAGUUGCGAACGACGCUAACUACGCCCUCGCCGCCUAAAUCCGGCGAGCGGUUGACCUUCUGGUGCCGAUACCGGUUGGAUCGACCGUCGACUCUUAUCGGAUCGCAGCCCAGCCCGCCCUUGGCCUAGACUGCUAAAACCCUAAGGGGAUAAGCGUCGGCGAUCCGUGCCCGUCCGGGAGCCGACGACGAAAACCAAAGACCGGGCUACGCAUGUAGAACUGAGGGCUACGAUCUGGCGGACGCGGGUUCAAUUCCCGCCAGCUCCACCA
rnacentral:tmRNA from 1 species